AUAAAAAAUAAUAAAGAUACAAAUGAUGUUUUAAUAUUUAUUUCAUAAUCAAUUUAGAAUACAAAAGUAAAUUUACACAACAAAACACACUUAAAAGAUUGAGGUACAAUACAUGGUAAAAAAACACAAAUCCACACAUAUUGAAGGGAAGUAACUCUUAUAUUGAAGGGAAGUAACUCUUGCUUAUUUCAAAUUCAACAAACCGGCC
rnacentral:lncRNA from 1 species